rnacentral:lncRNA from 1 species
CUGGUUCACAUCAUAAUGGUUCUUUUGCCAACAGGAGCUGGUAAUCAGGAUGGCAGUGAGGCAGGCACUUGCUUGCAGAAGAACAGGCCUAGUUUUUUAAGAAGCCACAAAAGUGUCUUUGGAUGAUUAGGAUCUAAGGGGCCAACAGCUUUGCAAUAACAGCAUAAAUAUUGUGGGCUGGAUGGACAGGCACCAAAUGGGGACAUUCCAUCCUGCUGUGUGAUGAGAAAGCUGCCACUUUUGAGGCCUUCCAAAACAAAUCAACACUCCAUAUGCCAGAAGGAAAAGCCCAGGAAAGACCUAUUCCAACUGGAGAUGGUGAAUGUCAUUUCUUCAAGAAGCUGAGAUCCAGCUGGUACUGCCAGGUGGAGAGUGAGUUGGGUAGCUGACCUCGGGCAUGGCAGCCUUGGUUUUUGGCCACUUCAUGGGGUGACCUGUUGAGCAAACAGCAGUGGAAUUCUGCAGCUGUGGACCAAGAUGAAUACGAAGGGAGAAUGAAACAAAACUGCUCCGCUUAGGGAACUUGGAAAGGAAAUUGAAAAGGCAAGGCACAGGCUGGAAGAAAAUAUUUGAAAAAGAUUUAUGUGAACUUCUUUCUGGAUUAUACAAAAUAUUUUUAGAUAUUCUUACAACUCUAAAAUAAGAUAACUCCUUAAAAAUCUAAAUUCUACCAAAGGAGAGAUAAAGAUGACGAAUACAUUCAAAGAUGCUGAAAAUCACUUAUUUAUUAUUAGGAAGUUACAAGCUAAAGCAUAAUGAGAUACCACUACAACCUACUAAACUGACUAAAAUUAAUCAGACUAACCAGGUGUUGGCAAGAAACAGGGACACUGAGACUCUCACACUGCUGGAAGGAAUGUAAAAUGCUAAAACUUCUUUGGAAAUGAGUUCAGUAACUUUUUAAACAGUUGAAAAUAGACCUAUCAUGCAAACCAGCAAUCCCACUUCCAGGUAUUUAUACAAGGAAAAUGACAACAUAUGCCCACAUAAAGACUUGUGCACAAAUGACCGUAGCAGCUUUGUGAUAAUUGCUAAAAACUAGAAACUUGUCAAGUGUCCAACAGUUGACAUGCAGGCUGGACAUACAGUGGGCCUCGAUUGCUUAGAAGCCAAACUGAACUCACCAAGAAAAGAAGACAGGAGAAACUUCUCAAGAGGAAUAUCUCCAAAUUGCAGGAUCGAAUACCAUAAGAGGAAUUCUGGACUGAAGAGUUAUGAAGUCAUUUCAGACACUUCCAGACAAUUUGUGUUAAUUAAAUUCUCACUGGUUGAGUUCCAUUCUACACUGGAAGAGCAUUUUUCCUGGAAAGGCUCCUCAAAAUGGACACCAUCAAGAGUCACCUCCUCAGUGAAGCCUUCCAUGGUUUCAUACCACCCAUCCCUAUCGGAAUGAAUGUAUCCUUGUUCUCCGUUAUCCCAGUAUUUUGCCUGGGCUUCUGUCACACUACUUUCAAUGUCUAUACCUCAGUUAUCGAAUCGAAAAACAAGAGUCAUCAGUCUCUAAGGUCCUUGCAAGCUUCAAAACUUUAUAUUUUUGUCAAUUACAACUGAAUAAAGCUGAACAACUUAUUAUUUAUGGAUACUUGCUCAAGCACCAUAUAACUCUUUCAGAUAUUUUAAAAGAAUAUGUUUGCAAAAGACUCCAAAUCAAUGUAUUAAAUUGAAAUCCAGUAUCAAAACACCCAUUAAAGUGCUCUUUUGAAAUUGUACAUUUUAUAUCAAUAAAAUUUCAAAAUAUAAAAACC